UUAUUAUUUGAAUACAUCAUCUUAUUACCAUGAUCAAAGUCAAUCGGUCGCAUCAAUGUCACGUCAUAAUGUGUGAAGCACAGAAACUAAUCUUCAUGUAAAGUCGUGUUUUACCCCCCAACCCCAACCCUUCCCCAAAGUAAACAAGUUUUAACGAAGGAGAGACCAGUUCUGUAUACUAAUUUUUCUCUGUAGCACAAAUCGUCUUUCAUAAAACUAAAAUAAAGCUUUAGUCAAAAAGAAAAACUAUCGAAAAGGUAGACAAACGUGUCCUUUUUUCUUUAUGAUUAUACUUCGCUAAAACUCCUCACCUGUUGAUUUGUCUAAAGCUGUAGUCGGUCACAAAAGAGCGAGUUGCAUCCGUUCCACGGUCCACCAUUGCAACCAUCGCCCUGAGAAACCACUACAACCACCAGUGGACCGAGACAACACAUCAACCACUGUGACAACGUAGUCUGCAUGCGUCUGCAAGCGCCACUGUACAAGUUGGGAUGUACAUCUAUACACACACACACACACUCACACACGCUUCGUAAACGGAGUCUAUGGUGAAGGUUUCUAGGCAGCUCACAAACCAGUGAUAAUGGAAGAAGCAAGUAUAACCGUCGUCGUAAGUGCAAUCCCCGGUCUUCUGUCGGUCGUUCGAUUCGGCCCGGGAGCAUGACAGUGAUGCAUCGUGUAACCUUACCGUCUAUUCGUAGUUGGUACAUCUAUAGACAGUACAAGUGGGUCAUGCAACAUGGCUUUUUAUAUUACUUUACAAUCAUGUGUGUGUGUCACUUUACAAUUAACGUGGAAUCUUUUUUGUACAUGGCAUAAGAAGGUACUCCAUUAAAAAGAUGACACACGUUUCCAUUCUUAUCACAACAAUAACAUUGAAAUCUUAAAUCCUGAGAAUUAAAAAAAAUCAUAAACACAACCAAUGGGCGGGUCAGACACUAACGCACGUCGGCUCCGACGAGACUUUGAUGCAACAAAACACGAGCAAAAGUCCAUGUGUUCUGCCUCAGGGAGUGGGUUCGCGGUCCUGGCCCCCACAACUAUUUUAGGCCUUGGCCAGAACUAAAAAUGUAGUUUGCGUGUGUACAACUCUUCUAACCUUCCUCUAGAUGUCAGUCUAAAACCCAGCGCCCAGACACCACAAUCAUCCUUGGGCCAUCUUUAAGGGACAUGGAAUCUGUAAUCCCUAACGAUAAUCGGAACAUAAUAUGGCUAUAGGUGAUCAUUGACUUUAAAGUAUACAUAAAACCUCUGCUUACAAAGUGUCUCUCUGAGCUCGUUCAUGUUGGGAAUCAGAGUGAGGGCGCACAACAUACAAAUAUACAACCUCAACCAUAGAUAAUAAUAACAAGCCGAUCACAUUUCACAGCAGGCAUCUCCCUGCUUUGCAUCUCAUGUAUUCGCUUCCUCUAGCAAAGCACACACAAAAAUAGACAUUUCGGCACUUUAAAUAUCGUAAUUACUCAGAAUGAAUCUAUGUUUCGACUUAACUCGAUGCAAUGAAUAAGGACGUCCUCACAGGAAAAUAUACAAAUCCAGUUUGUUAUAUAAUUAAUAUGCUCGGUCGAUUUCACCGCGGGAACGUGAAGUGUUAUGUUGCGGAUCUAUAGAAAUGUCGUAGUGGACAUCACAGUUAAAGGAACCCGGGUCAGUGCAUUUCAUAGAUCAGCAAGCAACGUGCUCCCAGUCUCAACACAAACUGACCUGCUGCUUCAAAUCUCAGCUAACCACACAGGAAGUCAGAGCGUACCGUCUAACCCCGGGAAUCUCUAGUGCACGCCUGGGCCGGUGGUUGACUCAUCGCUACAGUGUCUGACGUCAGCACGGUGCCUUAGAUACGCUGAUUAGUGUGCGGGGAGUCACGGCGCGAGGCUCUGGGGCGGGGAGAGAGGGAGGAAGGAGAGGGGGACUAAUUCAACAUUCUCGUCUUGACCAGAGGGAGGCCGCGUCUACUUCAGUGAGGUGUUCACAUGUGACCAGUCUCUCUACCUUCAUUCCUCCUCCUCCCUCUCCCUCCCUCCUUCCUUUCACUCUCACUCUCCCCUACCCUCCCUCCCUCCUCCCUCAGAGGGAGGCGUUGUCUCCUCCUCCUCCCCCUCUCCUCCCCCCUCAGAGGGAG
ensembl:lncRNA